UGGAGGAAAGCAGGGGAUCGUAAGACCUUGCGCUUUUGGAGCGGCCGAUGUCUGAUUAGCUAGUUGGUGGGGUAAUGGCCUACCAAAGCUUCGAUCAGUAGCUGGUCUGAGAGGACGGCCAGCCACACUGGGACUGAGACACGGCCCAGACUCCUACGGGAGGCAGCAGUGGGGAAUUUUGGACAAUGGGCGCAAGCCUGAUCCAGCCAUGCCGCGUGAGUGGAGAAGGCCUUCGGGUUGUAAAGCUCUUUCAGCCGGGAAGAAAAGGCUGCGAUUAAUAAUCGCAGUUCAUGACGGUACCGGAAGAAGAAGCACCGGCUAACUACGUGCCAGCAGCCGCGGUAAUACGUAGGGUGCGAGCGUUAAUCGGAAUUACUGGGCGUAAAGGGUGCGCAGGCGGUUUUGUAAGUCAGAUGUGA
rnacentral:rRNA from 1 species